rnacentral:lncRNA from 1 species
AUAUCUUUUGAAAAGGCUGGGCUCGGAACUGUCCAUCCUAGACAAAUGAAGCAAGCAAAGGCUGAGAACCAUAUCGGAGACGCUGUCGUUCCAAGAUAACAGUCCGUGCUAGUGACAAGCUACAGGUGCCAAUCUAUUUUUGCUGUUCUUCCUCAUGUGACUGGCUCUGUUUGUCACCAGCCCCUAGGAGGAAAAAUGGGAGGGGAAUUUAGCCACCCUUUCCAACUUUCCUGUUCGAUUUCUCUUGUACAUAGACACUUGUUUUCCAGAAAGCAGGAAUUCUUCUUUGCUCACCCACAAAACACAACUACCCAACAGCUGCCACACUAUCCUUCCGCUGGCACAACUAUAGAUGUAAGGAUAUCAUACAAGCGUGGCGGCAGCAGGAGGGGAAGCAGGCAGCCAUGCUACUAAUAGAAAGAUGUUCAUAAGAUGUAGCAGACAGAAACCAUUGCCUGCCUACCGGCUGCUGCCUCCUUGUGACAUGUGCUGUCAGGUUAGAAGAAAUGUAUAGCAAGACUUUCAAGGUAAGCAAGAUAUUUAGGAGAGUGGCUUUACCAGUAUUACCCCUGCAACAGUGAGUUUCCAUGGCUGAGGAGGGAUUUGAAGCCACGU